rnacentral:rRNA from 1 species
GACGAACGCUGGCGGCGUGCCUAAUGCAUGCAAGUUGAGCGAUGAAGAUUGGUGCUUGCACCAAUUUGAAGAGCAGCGAACGGGUGAGUAACGCGUGGGGAAUCUGCCUUUGAGCGGGGGACAACAUUUGGAAACGAAUGCUAAUACCGCAUAACAACUUUAAACAUAAGUUUUAAGUUUGAAAGAUGCAAUUGCAUCACUCAAAGAUGAUCCCGCGUUGUAUUAGCUAGUUGGUGAGGUAAAGGCUCACCAAGGCGAUGAUACAUAGCCGACCUGAGAGGGUGAUCGGCCACAUUGGGACUGAGACACGGCCCAAACUCCUACGGGAGGCAGCAGUAGGGAAUCUUCGGCAAUGGACGAAAGUCUGACCGAGCAACGCCGCGUGAGUGAAGAAGGUUUUCGGAUCGUAAAACUCUGUUGGUAGAGAAGAACGUUGGUGAGAGUGGAAAGCUCAUCAAGUGACGGUAACUACCCAGAAAGGGACGGCUAACUACGUG